UACGAAGGGGGCUAGCGUUGCUCGGAAUUACUGGGCGUAAAGCGCACGUAGGCGGCUUUCUAAGUCGGGGGUGAAAUCCUGGAGCUCAACUCCAGAACUGCCUUCGAUACUGGAGGGCUCGAGUCCGGGAGAGGGGGGUGGAAUUCCCAGUGUAGCGGUGAAAUGCGUAGAUAUUGGGAGGAACACCGGUGGCGAAGGCGGCCCCCUGGACCGGUACUGACGCUGAGGCGCGAAAGCGUGGGUAGCAAACGGG
rnacentral:rRNA from 1 species